rnacentral:rRNA from 1 species
GAUGAACGCUGGCGGCGUGCUUAACACAUGCAAGUCGAACGGAAAGGCCUCUGCUUGCAGGGGUACUCGAGUGGCGAACGGGUGAGUAACACGUGGGUGAUCUGCCCUGCACUUCGGGAUAAGCCUGGGAAACUGGGUCUAAUACCGGAUAGGACAAUGGUUUGGAUGCUGUUGUGGAAAGUUUUUCGGUGUGGGAUGAGCUCGCGGCCUAUCAGCUUGUUGGUGGGGUAAUGGCCUACCAAGGCGUCGACGGGUAGCCGGCCUGAGAGGGUGUACGGCCACAUUGGGACUGAGAUACGGCCCAGACUCCUACGGGAGGCAGCAGGGGGGAAGAUUGCACAAUGGGCGCAAGCCUGAUGCAGCGACGCCGCGUGGGGGAUGACGGCCUUCGGGUUGUAAACUCCUUUCGCUAGGGACGAAGCGUUUUUGUGACGGUACCUGGAGAAGAAGCACCGGCUAACUACGUG